GACGAACGCUGGCGGCGUGCCUAAUACAUGCAAGUCGAGCGAAUCAAUGGGAGCUUGCUCCCUGAGAUUAGCGGCGGACGGGUGAGUAACACGUUGGUAACCUGCCUGUAAGACUGGGAUAACUUCGGGAAACCGGAGCUAAUACCGGACACGUUCUUUUCUCGCAUGAGAAGAGAUGGAAAGAUGGUUCUGCUAUCACUUACAGAUGGACCCGCGGCGCAUUAGCUAGUUGGUGAGGUAACGGCUCACCAAGGCGACGAUGCGUAGCCGACCUGGGAGGGUGAUCGGCCACACUGGGACUGAGACACGGCCCAGACUCCUACGGGAGGCAGCAGUAGGGAAUCUUCCGCAAUGGACGAAAGUCUGACGGAGCAACGCCGCGUGGGCGAAGAAGGCCUUCGGGUCGUAAAGCUCUGUUGUUAGGGAAGAACAAGUACGAGAGUAACUGCUCGUACCUUGACGGUACCUAACCAGAAAGCCACGGCUAACUACGUGCCAGCCGCCGCCGUAA
rnacentral:rRNA from 1 species